UACAGAGGGUGCGAGCGUUAAUCGGAAUUACGUGGGCGUAAAGCGUGACGUAGACGGUUGAUUUAAGUCGGGUGUGAAAUCCCCGGGCUUAACCUGGGAAUUGCGAUGGAGACUGCAAGGCUAGAAUCUGGCAGAGGGGGGUAGAAUUCCACGUGUAGCAGUGAAAUGCGUAGAGAUGUGGGAGGAACACCGAUGGCGAAGGCAGCCCCCUGGGUCAAGAUUGGACGCUACAUGCACGAAAGGCGUGGGAGCAAACAGG
rnacentral:rRNA from 1 species